UGAGUAACCUGCCCUUCACUCUGGGAUAACUCCGGGAAACCGGGGCUAAUACUGGAUAUGACUCGAACAGGCAUCUGUUUCGGGCGGAAAGAUUUAUUGGUGGAGGAUGGACUCGCGGCCUACCAGCUUGUUGGUGAGGUAAUGGCUCACCAAGGCGACGACGGGUAGCCGGCUGAGAGGGCGAUCGGCCACACGUGGGACUGAGACACGGCCCAGACCUCCGUAACGGGGAGGCA
rnacentral:rRNA from 1 species